rnacentral:misc_RNA from 1 species
CAACCCUCAAGCGCAGCUUGGUAUUUGGGCCUCGCCGUUCGUUCGGCGGGCCUUAAAAUCAGUGGCGGUGCCGUCGUGGGCCCUGAGCGCAGUAAAUAUCCUCGCUAUAGGGACCCGGCGAACGCUGGCCAUCAACCCCCACUCUCUAA